rnacentral:siRNA from 1 species
ACCGUGACCUUGAAGGUAUAGUAC